GGACGGCUAGCACGUCGCGCGCGUGGACGUCGAGCACCACCAGGGCGCCCAGGGUCACCCGGUUCUGCUUGGACAGCUUCCCCCGCACCAGCGUCACGAUGUCGUCGAUCUGCGUGUUGUUCUGCUCCAGGCUGUGUAGGGAGAUGGACAGGUCUGCUCCUGUCCACGCUCUUGUGCUUCGCCCUGACCUUUUGGCCCUUGGAGAUGGCCUCGUGAAUGUCCUUGGUCCAGUACACCUGCGAGACGCACAGCACCGUCUGUCCCGGCCACGCCCGGACCCAGUUGAUACGCAGGUCCUUGGGCUGUUAUCAGUAACGCUACGGGGAGUUCACAGCUACCAGUAGCCCUGUAAUGACAGUGAGUGCCGACGGAGCCGACCGUGGAGGCGCUACCUUCUGCAGGGACUUCAGCAUGCCGCACUCCAGUUCCAGCAGCCACUUCUCCACCUGCCCGCGGGCCUUGGAGGUGGAGAUGAUGUCCUCCAGCUUCACCACCUCCCCCUCGCUGCUCUUCAUGUGGGUGAUGUCCAGCACAUCGGUGAACUGCACGCUGGCGAUGCCCUCGAAGCACUUCUUCAGAGUUGAGUAAGCAUUAGACACCCACGUGCUCCCAGGCACAACAGCAGCAGCCCAUCAAGGACCUGAACCCAGGAACCCAGACCAGACCCUGAGGCAAUGUACAGUAAUAACACAAGUGGGAGAAUCCUGCACCAAGGAUCUCCAGCAGCUCGUCAUUGGACAGGAAGAAGAAGCGUGGGAAAUAAAGGCGUUUCUUCUCCAGAUCGGCUGAGGGUGCCAAUUACCCUUUGGAAUGUCUCAGGAGGGUUAGCAGCAGAAAAUCCUGCUUUAAAGCAGCCCCGCGGACCCCUGCCUGAUGAAACCACGCUGCUUGUCGGCACCAAGCUGUGGCCUCGACCGAGACCUGAUAUUCCCCUCUCUUCUCGCCGCUGUUCUGCAGAACUUUGCGUGGCGGUGCAGGCGACUCAGCCCGAUACAGGCAAACGCACUGGUGCACGAGCUGCUCCUGAGGUCCCCGUGUCCGGGGCAGAACGCACACACGCACGCACGCACGCACACACACACGCACACACGCACGCACGUACGUACACACACACGCACACACGCGCGCUACAUGGUGACACCUCAGCACGACGCACUGCACACGUAAACAGGAAAUCCGGGGUCAGGCUCUCUGUAUGAACAAACCCAGGAGCCCGGGAUCCAUACAGAAGGGCUCUUAAAAUGAUUGCGUACCUUUAAAUGCUGUUAUUAUGCCUCAGCAAGCAUUCCGUGAGCAUGGAGCCAGACGGGCAGUCAGGGACGUAACAAGUUGAAACAAGUCCAGGUGCAAAUGCAAAGCUGUGG